AUCCGGCUGAUGAGUCCUAGACAGGACAAAAUGUGUAUCCUGUAU
rnacentral:hammerhead_ribozyme from 1 species